AGUAGGAUUGCUGGGUUGUACAGUACUUCUGUUCUUAACUUUGUGAGGAAGCACCACUCUCUCUUCCACAGUGGCUGCACCAUUUACAGUCCCACCAGCAGU
rnacentral:pre_miRNA from 1 species